UAAAACUCAAAUGAAUUGACGGGGGCCCGCACAAGCGGUGGAGCAUGUGGUUUAAUUCGAUGCAACGCGAAGAACCUUACCUACUCUUGACAUCCAGCGAAGCCUUUAGAGAUAGAGGCGUGCCUUCGGGAGCGCUGAGACAGGUGCUGCAUGGCUGUCGUCAGCUCGUGUUGUGAAAUGUUGGGUUAAGUCCCGCAACGAGCGCAACCCUUAUCCUUGUUUGCCAGCACAUAAUGGUGGGAACUCCAGGGAGACUGCCGGUGAUAAACCGGAGGAAGGUGGGGACGACGUCAAGUCAUCAUGGCCCUUACGGGAAGGGCUACACACGUGCUACAAUAGCGCAUACAAAGGGCAGCAAGCCAGCGAUGGUUAGCGAAUCUCAUAAAGUUCGUCGUAGUCCGGAUUGGAGUCUGCAACUCGACUCCAUGAAGUCGGAAUCGCUAGUAAUCGUGGAUCAGAAUGCCACGGUGAAUACGUUCCCGGGCCUUGUACACACCGCCCGUCACACCAUGGGAGUGGGUUGCAAAAGAAGCAGGUAUCCUAACCUUGAAAAAGGAAGGCGCCUACCACUUUGUGAUUCAUGACUGGGGUGAAGUCGUAACAAGGUAACCGUAGGGGAACCUGCGGUUGGAUCACCUCCUUA
rnacentral:rRNA from 1 species